UGUAGAAGCCUUUGCUUUUGCUCCUUCAUCUGUACCUACUUGAGAAAGAGAAAGCCUGCUCUCCGAUUAAGUAGAAGCUCUGUGUCAUUAAGUCAGAUGGAGAAACUGCGGCUCGGACGGGCUCAGGACCUAGACAUGAUUCUCACCCCAACCUGAGGAUCUCCUUCAGACAUCAUGUGUCCUGUGAGAUGGGCCAAGGAAGCCCCGCCCAAAUCCAAGAGUCCACAGGAGCAUUACCCAGAACUGGUGAAAAUUAAAAGGCUGGCUGCUUCCAGCCUACUUUGCACAGAGGAGGAGGAUUAUCAAGAGCAUCGAGUCUUAACAGUGGGAGUGCCUUUGGCUGGUGGCAAACUGUGGAUGAAGUUUUGCAGGCAGGUUUCACAGGUGAGUUGUCUGGGAGACAGAACCCAGACCCAAACUGUAGAGGAGACACACCCUUGAGAGGUCUCCCAGCCAGUCAAGCAAUGCCUCCAAAGCUGCAAGUCUCAGGAGAAAGGUGCUCGGGGCCUGCCUCCUAAAGCAGUGCUCUCUGGGUGGGAGCUGAUGCUGUGAGGACCCAAAGGCUGGGAUGCCUCCGCCCUCCUCCUCAGCCCCACCUGCCCACGUCCCCAAGGCUUGUCUCUCCUACCAAGGUUUCCUGGCCCACCUAACCAGUCUCAGCUUUGGAAAAGAAUACCCAACCUCUUCCAGGAUGCCUCUAUAAACCCUACGUGGUCUCCACAAAGUGGGAAGAAAUGAAGGAGAUGCAUGAGUUAAGGGACAGGGCUGGGAUUAUGAGCAAAUGUUCUCAGUGACCAGAGAUGGCCCUUCAUGUGUGUGUUGGGUGGGUGGGGUGGUAAGAACAUGUGAGUGCGUGUUUGGAGGCCAGAGGCCUAGGCUAUGUGUCUUCCUCAGUCACUCUCCAUCCAUUGCCUCUGCAAUUGCAUUUUUAUCUGGAUACUGGGGGUUGAACCUGGAUCCUCAUGCUUGCAUGGCAAACAUUUUACCCACCAAGCCAUCUCCCCAAGUCUCUAUCUAGACAAUGCCUUUUGCCUGGAAUCUCCAGAAAAAAAAUUAAAAUUAAAAUUAAAAGAAAUCCAGAAGGAUUGAGUAU